rnacentral:rRNA from 1 species
AGCGAACGCUGGCGGCAGGCCUAACACAUGCAAGUCGAACGAACCUUCCGGGGUUAGUGGCGGUUGGGUGUGUAACACGUGGGAACGUGCCUUUAGGCUUGGAAUACUUCAGGGAAACUUGUGCUAAUACCGAAUGUGCUCUUCGGGGGAAAGAUUUAUCGCCCUUAGAGCGGCCCGCGACCGUUUAGCCAGUUGGUUGUGGGAAUGGCGCACUAAGGUGACGUUGAGUAGCUGGUCAGUGAGAAUGAGCAGCCACAUUGGGACUGAGACACGGCGCAAAGUCUUGCGGAAGGCAGCAGAGGGUGAUCUAGCGAAAUCGGGUAAGGGAUGACGCAGCCAUGCCGGGAGAAUGAUGAUGGUCUUAGAGAAGAAAAAUUCUUUCAUAGGGGGCGGUAAUGACGGUACCCAAAGAAGAAGCCCCGGCUAACUUCGUG